rnacentral:rRNA from 1 species
AGUGAACGCUGGCGGUAGGCCUAACACAUGCAAGUCGAACGGCAGCACAGGAGAGCUUGCUCUCUGGGUGGCGAGUGGCGGACGGGUGAGGAAUACAUCGGAAUCUACUCUGUCGUGGGGGAUAACGUAGGGGAACUUACGCUAAUACCGCAUACGACCUACGGGUGAAAGCAGGGGACCUUCGGGCCUUGCGCGAUUGAAUAAGCCGAUGUCGGAUUAGCUAGUUGGCGGGGUAAAGGCCCACCAAGGCGACGAUCCGUAGCUGGUCUGAGAGGAUGAUCAGCCACACUGGAACUGAGACAAGGUCCAGACUCCUACGGGAGGCAGCAGUGGGGAAUAUUGGACAAUGGGCGCAAGCCUGAUCCAGCCAUACCGCGUGGGUGAAGAAGGCCUUCGGGUUGUAAAGCCCUUUUGUUGGGAAAGAAAUCCAGCUGGCUAAUACCCGGUUGGGAUGACGGUACCCAAAGAAUAAGCACCGGCUAACUUCGUGCCAGCCGCCGCCGUAA